UUCGCCCUUAGAGUUUGAUCCUGGCUCAGGAUGAACGCUAGCUACAGGCUUAACACAUGCAAGUCGAGGGGAAACGACAUCGAAAGCUUGCUUUUGAUGGGCGUCGACCGGCGCACGGGUGAGUAACGCGUAUCCAACGUGCCCACCACUUGGGGAUAACCUUGCGAAAGUAAGACUAAUACCCAAUGACGUCUCUAGAAGACAUCUGAAAGAGAUUAAAGAUUUAUCGGUGAUGGAUGGGGAUGCGUCUGAUUAGCUUGUUGGCGGGGUAACGGCCCACCAAGGCAACGAUCAGUAGGGGUUCUGAGAGGAAGGUCCCCCACAUUGGAACUGAGACACGGUCCAAACUCCUACGGGAGGCAGCAGUGAGGAAUAUUGGUCAAUGGACGAGAGUCUGAACCAGCCAAGUAGCGUGCAGGAUGACGGCCCUAUGGGUUGUAAACUGCUUUUAUAAGGGAAUAAAGUGAGUCUCGUGAGACUUUUUGCAUGUACCUUAUGAAUAAGGACCGGCUAAUUCCGUGCCAGCAGCCGCGGUAAUACGGAAGGUCCGGGCGUUAUCCGGAUUUAUUGGGUUUAAAGGGAGCGUAGGCCGGAGAUUAAGCGUGUUGUGAAAUGUAGACGCUCAACGUCUGCACUGCAGCGCGAACUGGUUUCCUUGAGUACGCACAAAGUGGGCGGAAUUCGUGGUGUAGCGGUGAAAUGCUUAGAUAUCACGAAGAACUCCGAUUGCGAAGGCAGCUCACUGGAGCGCAACUGACGCUGAAGCUCGAAAGUGCGGGUAUCGAACAGGAUUAGAUACCCUGGUAGUCCGCACGGUAAACGAUGGAUGCCCGCUGUUGGUCUGAAUAGGUCAGCGGCCAAGCGAAAGCAUUAAGCAUCCCACCUGGGGAGUACGCCGGCAACGGUGAAACUCAAAGGAAUUGAC
rnacentral:rRNA from 1 species